rnacentral:tRNA from 1 species
GGGAGAGCGCUUGCAUGGCAUGCAAGAGGUCAGCGGUUCGAUCCCGCUAUUCUCCACCA